UGUAGGAGCGAGCCUGCUCGCGAUGACGGAGUGUCAGACACAUUGAUGUUGAAUGUGUCACCGCCAUCGCGAGCAGGCUCGCUCCUACA
rnacentral:antisense_RNA from 1 species